GAGAGUUCCGAGUCCAGGGCUGACAUGACAAUUCUAAUUUGUGGAACAAGUAACAAAAAAGAGAGGGAGCCCAAGAGAAAUUCAGAAAGUAAGGACCCUACCCAAGGAGUGAAGGCUUCCUUCUAGGACUGUGGGUAAAACAGAAAUAGAUCUAGCCUAGCAAAGUCUAAAAUCAACCCUUAAAAUCAGGGUGAUCCACCAGUUAUUUAACUGUGGGCCAGAAAAAAGGUUCAACAUUCUUCAAAGUACUAUAUCACAUUCCAGAGUAGUCCCCACAUAUAAUAUUCAAAAUGUUUAUAAUAAAAAUUAAUAGGCAUGGAAAGAAGCAGAAACAUGGGGCUGGGCUGUAGCUCAGUGGGAGAGCACUUGCCUAGCAUGUGUGAGGCCCUGGGUUCAAUCCCAGCACCACAUGAAAAUAAAUAAAUAUCAUAAAGGUAUCGUGUCCAUCUACAACUAAAAGAAUAUUAAAAAACAAACAAGCAAACAAACAAACAUGCACAAAUGUGACCCAUAAACAAAAGAAAAAUGGCCAAUAACAGGAAACUCAACGUUGGAAUUAGCAAAGACCUUAAAAUAUACAAAUAUGUUUAAACAUUUAGUGAAAGUUGUGGCCAGGUGUUUUCAUAGAGGAGCAGGUGAACAUAUGGGGAAAUUCAGCAUAGAAAUGGAAACGUUUAAAUGCAAAUUCUAGAACUGGAAAAUACAAUAUCUGAAAUGAAAAGUUAUCAUACCAGCCAUGGCAGAAGAAAUGACUUAUGAACUUAAAGAUAGAUCCACAGGAGAAACCCAGACUGAAGCACAUAGAGAAAAUAGAAUAAGAUUGAAAAAAGCAUUCAGGAAACGUAGGCUAAUAUUAAGUAAGCUAGUACUCUUUCAUUUGGAGUAACAGAUUGGGAGGAGAGAGAAUGGAAUGAAGAAUUUAUUGGAAAAGAUAGUGGCCAUUUUCAAAAUAUAUGAAAGUUAUCAGCUCACAACUCAAAAAUUCAGUAAAUUCAGCAUUAAUCAGCUUUUUAUUGUUGCAACCAACAACUUAAAGUAGGAAAAUUUUAUUUUGGCCUACGGUUUCAGUCCAUGGCUGGCUCGGUUGCCGGGGGCCUGAGGCAGGGCAGAGCAUCAUGGCAGAAGGAUGUUGUGGAAGGAAGCCGCCAUUUUAUGGCAACCCAGAAGCACAGGGAGAGAGAGAGGGAGGUG
rnacentral:lncRNA from 1 species